UUAAAAAGCUCGUAGUUGAAUUUCGGGGUUAGUAGGUUGGUCAUGCCUCUGGUAUGUACUGGUCUCACUGAUUCCUCCUUCCUGAUGAACCGUAAUGCCAUUAAUUUGGUGUUGCGGGGAAUUUGGACUGUUACUUUGAAAAAAUUAGAGUGUUUAAAGCAAGCUAACGCUUGAAUACAUUAGCAUGGAAUAAUGAAAUAGGACGUUCGACCCUAUUUUGUUGGUUUCUAGGAUUGACGUAAUGAUUAGUAGGGAUAGUUGGGGG
rnacentral:rRNA from 1 species